ensembl:lncRNA
GCUUGUUCUAACACGCCCCCACAUCUCUACGUCAGUAUGUGGGAAGAUUUGCAUAAUGCCUCCCAGAUGUUCACGCAAAGAAAGAAGGCGUUACUUUUAUUCUCGCUGUUGCCGCUGCUGCUGUGUUGUGAAGACGUUGUGUGUUUUGUUGUGAAAAAUAUAUUAUAUAUAUUAUAUUAUCAUAAUUCAUGCAAUAUUUUAAUAUAUUUAUAUAAAAAAUGACUUGCCAUAUUCCAUGUGAACUCCACAAGACGACGAACAAGCAGAAAAGCAUCAUUGAUCUUCUUCCCAUCCAGAUCAGGAAAGACGGUUGCCAAUCCAGAGCCUAUGAUAUGCACAACCAUGUCCUAUUGGAUCAGAAGAUACACAUUAUAUACAACUGGAUAGGACGGGACGGGACGAGACGAGAUGAGAAAGUCACCUGUCUGAACACGAUUCCUCUUCAUCUUCUUUCUGGAUAUAUCGCUGCUCAACAUGCAUGUCAGUGUCGUAGAACUGUUUUCCCAUCUGUCUGAGCUGACCCAUGGCGUAGUGCAGGCAACCUUUACGUUUGCUCCUGGCCAAACACACAGAGACACAUCAACAACACAGAACAUCAGCUGAACACUGGACUACUGUGACUUUAUUAGGAAUUAUUAUUAGAAAUUCAGUCUGACGUCGGCUCUCUCUCUGACACGUUUCCACACGUCAUCACCGUACGACUACUUAAUGAAGUCAUGAAGACUUUCACACAGCAGCCCGUACAUCCUGACCGCACCGACACACCGGAGACGUCUUCAAAUCCACACAAAUCUGAAUGUCUGGAAUCUCCAAAU